CAUGCCCCUGCAGCCUCACUGCUCAAUCCUCUGCCAUUUAGGAGCUAAAUCCCUUUGUUUGUGAACCCUAGUCACACCUCCCUGCAUGUGACUUGCACAGCCUUCCCUAAACACUUCCUGUAAAGAGAGCCCUAUUUAGGCUUUCUUUAUUGCAAGUUCUGUUUAAUUAAGAUUUUCUUAUCCCCUGCUAUGUUAAUAGCUUGCUAGACCAUGCAAGAGCCUCCUGUAUGUGAUUAAAGUUCAAUUUAGAGAUUGAGAUACAAUUAUUUAAGGUAAAUUACAUCUGUUUGAAAGUGAAACCAGUUUUUUUUU